UCCCUCCCUCCCUCAUCUUUCUCCUACACCAAACAUUUGAGAUUUGGAUUUGGAAUUAUUCACCAUUUGGGAUUAUCUGUAUUAUUAUUUUUUCUUUCAGAGGCUACAUUCCCAUUGCUUCCUAUUAGGCCUGUUUUCAGCACUGAAUUCGGGCAGGACAUUGAUCUAGCAUCCUAAGUGAAAAUAAGAGAGUGUUCCUUUGGACAUCUGCUUGGUGACCACGUGGUACUCAACUGGCGGUUGGACACAAAGGAGGCUUGGUCAUCAUCUGGUCAAGCUCAUCUUUGGGGCCCUACUUAGCAAUGAGAACGGAGGCCUUGCGUUCCUGUCCGUCAGUGGUAGCUGUGGCAUCUCCUGUUUGGAUCUCCCCACGCUCCUAGCACCUCAGUCCUUUCUUCGGCCUGCCU
rnacentral:lncRNA from 1 species